rnacentral:lncRNA from 1 species
CACAGUUGAACUAUAUACAUAGUUGACAUAUUAUUUAAACAAAUGCUCUUUCAAGACUCCGUUUGUAGCUAUCAAGGCGAGACAAGAUUCUAUUCAUACCAUUUGCAGUUCACCUUGACCAUACUGACCCAUCGCCUGGAACCUUCUAGAAGCCGAAACCAUGCGCUUGCCGAGUGCUAACUAGCAGUAAGACCGAAAUAAUCAG